ACUUCCCUAGUAUCAAUUAGUACAGCUGACUUCCAAUCAUCCAGUCCUAGUAUAAUCUAGGGGGAAGUA
rnacentral:tRNA from 3 species